rnacentral:rRNA from 1 species
CAGGACGAACGCUGGCGGCGUGCUUAACACAUGCAAGUCGAACGCGCCUGUCCUCCGGUUUUCCGGGGGGUGGGUGAGUGGCGAACGGGUGAGUAACACGUGAGUAACCUGCCCCCUUCUUCGGGAUAACGGUCUGAAAGGGCUGCUAAUACCGGGUAUUCACUGGUCUCCGCAUGGGGUCUGGUGGAAAGGUUGUUUUUCUGGUGGGGGAUGGGCUCGCGGCCUAUCAGCUUGUUGGUGGGGUGAUGGCCCACCAAGGACUUUGACGGGUAGCCGGCCUGAGAGGGUGACCGGUCACAUUGGGACUGAGAUACGGCCCAGACUCCUACGGGAGGCAGCAGUGGGGAAUAUUGCACAAUGGGCGCAAGCCUGAUGCAGCGACGCCGCGUGAGGGACGGAGGCCUUCGGGUUGUGAACCUCUUUCGCCCGUGGUCAAGCCGCGACGUGGGUCGUGGUGAGGGUAGUGGGUAAAGAAGCGCCGGCUAACUACGUGCCAGCAGCCGCGGUAAUACGUAGGGCGCGAGCGUUGUCCGGAAUUAUUGGGCGUAAAGGGCUUGUAGGCGGCUGGUCGCGUCUGCCGUGAAAUCCUCUGGCUCAACUGGGGGCGUGCGGUGGGUACGGGCUGGCUUGAGUGCGGUAGGGGAGGCUGGAACUCCUGGUGUAGCGGUGGAAUGCGCAGAUAUCAGGAAGAACACCGGUGGCGAAGGCGGGUCUCUGGGCCGUUACUGACGCUGAGGAGCGAAAGUAU